rnacentral:rRNA from 1 species
GAUGAACGCUGGCGGCGUGCCUAAUACAUGCAAGUCGAGCGAACGGACGAGAAGCUUGCUUCUCUGAUGUUAGCGGCGGACGGGUGAGUAACACGUGGAUAACCUACCUAUAAGACUGGGAUAACUUCGGGAAACCGGAGCUAAUACCGGAUGAUAUUUUGAACCGCAUGGUUCAAAAGUGAAAGACGGUCUUGCUGUCACUUAUAGAUGGAUCCGCGCUGCAUUAGCUAGUUGGUAAGGUAACGGCUUACCAAGGCAACGAUGCAUAGCCGACCUGAGAGGGUGAUCGGCCACACUGGAACUGAGACACGGUCCAGACUCCUACGGGAGGCAGCAGUAGGGAAUCUUCCGCAAUGGGCGAAGGCCUGACGGAGCAACGCCGCGUGAGUGAUGAAGGCCUUCGGAUCGUAAAACUCUGUUAUUAGGGAAGAACAUAUGUGUAAGUAACUGUGCACAUCUUGACGGUACCUAAUCAGAAAGCCACGGCUAACUACGUG